rfam:Pteropus alecto contig10673, whole genome shotgun sequence.
GGCUCCAUAGUGUGGUGGUUAGCACGUCUGCUUUGCACGUAGAAGGUCCUAGGUUCGCGCCCCAGCUGGAGCCA